GUGAGUAAUGCGAAGGUAACCAACCCUGGUGUUGGGCAUAGCCGCGGGAAACUGCGGGUAAUUCCCAGCGACGUCGCGAGAUGGCAUCAUCUUGCGACCAAAGGUGUGAUUCCGCUCUAGGACGGGCCUUCGUGGUAUUAGGUAGUUGGUGAGGUAACGGCUCACCAAGCCGACGAUGCCUACCGGGUGUGAGAGCAUGACCCGGCACACUGGAACUGAGACACUGUCCAGACACCUACGGGUGGCUGCAGUCGAGAAUCUUCGGCAAUGGGCGAAAGCCUGACCGAGCGACGCCGCGUGAGGGAAGAAGGCCUUCGGGUUGUAAACCUCUUUCGUAGAGGAGGAAGGGGCCGUGCAGAGCGGUCUUUGACCUAUUCUAGGAAGAAGCUUGGGCUAAGUUCGUGCCAGCAGCCGCGGUAAGACGAACCAAGCGAACGUUAUUCGGAAUUACUGGGCUUAAAGCGCGUGUAGGCGGAUGACCACGUCAGUCGUUGAAAUCCCCCGGCUCAACCGGGGAACAGGCGCUGAUACGAGUUGUCUGGAGGUGGGUAGGGGAGACUGGAACUUCCGGUGGAGCGGUGAAAUGCGUUGAGAUCGGAAGGAACGCCCGCGGCGAAAGCGAGUCUCUGGACCCAUUCUGACGCUGAGACGCGAAAGCCAGGGGAGCAAACGGGAUUAGAUACCCCGGUAGUCCUGGCU
rnacentral:rRNA from 1 species